rnacentral:rRNA from 1 species
UACGUAGGGGGCAAGCGUUGUCCGGAAUCAUUGGGCGUAAAGAGCGCGUAGGCGGCCAGAUAAGUCCGGUGUGAAAGUCACAGGCUCAACCUGUGAAUGCCGCUGGAAACUGUCUGGCUAGAGUCCGGGUAGGGGCGAGUGGAAUUCCUGGUGUAGCGGUGAAAUGCGCAGAUAUCAGGAAGAACACCUAUGGCGAAGGCAGCUCUCUGGGACGGUACUGACGCUGAGACGCGAAAGCGUGGGGAGCGAAC